ACAGAUCACAAAACCUCAGUGUUCCUUGAAUUUUUCUGUAAAUUUGUAAAAUUUUUCAGUUACUCUGCCAGAAAUUUCUUUCGCUGUAUUUUUUUGUGAAAAUUUAUCGUUUAAAAUUGCAUUUAAUUUCUGUAACGUCAAAAUUCACUAUUGCAAAUUCUACCUUAUUGAGUACGAUCAUAACUGCACCAUCGCAUCAAUCUGCAUUCGUUCGUUUGGUCGCACAAAUGAAGACUCUGGUCAAUAUACGUCAAACACCGUGUGAAAAACCACACAAAUCUGCUAAAAAGAAGGAUCAGUAUAAAUCACGGCACACGGCACGUCGUGGCCGUACAAAUGCGGCGCUAGCUUUGAAAAUGCAACAGUUACGCAAAUCGCCAAUCAGUUUGCCAUUGACGCAACUUUUAUUACGCAGUCGCAAACCGUCAUUUGUGCAAGUAAAUAAACUAAAUUUACCCCCUGAGCUGAUUGUGAAGAAAAGUCGAACAGCCACCGCAAAAGCUAAUCCCAUAACUACCAGCAAGGCAACCAAUGCAGUUAAAGACAAAAAAAGAACGGCCGCUAUUUCCGUACAAGUAGAUUCCAAGAAAGGCAAGCGUAAUACCUCCAAAUCAAAUGUAAUCAACAUUGUAGCGUUUGCGCAGGACAAAAACGCUACACAAAAUGUCAAAAGGAAUCUUCAAACAAGCAAAAGUAAAGUCACUACUAAUGUUGAUGAAAGCCCUGCUCUAGAGACAAAAUACCAGCAACGUAAACGGAAACAUGUUGAUGAACUAUGUGCGGCAAAUGAAGUUGUUGGAUCAGAAUUACAUGAGUUGAGAAAAACUAGUUCGACCGAGGCAAGCAUUAUACCACCAUUGCGCAAAAGUGCUAGACUUUCAAAAGAUGGCAACAGCGAGCUUUUGACAAUAGGCACUGUUAAACGUAUUACGCUUAGGAAACGUAAUACACGUUAUACGCAGCAACGUUCUGUCGAUACCUUUUCGCCGCCAAUGACACGUUCACGUCGGAAAGAACUGAUGCAAAUGAUGGACGGCAACUCACAGCUUAUUGCCUAAGCCAUGUAAAAUGGCAGCAUAUUUAAAAACCAACAAGAAUAUGGAAUAUUUUUUUGUGGCUAUUGUGCAUUGUAUAUGAUUAUACUAUCACUGUGUAAAGGACUGGAAAUAUGAGUGCACUGGAAAUAUGAAGCAAGAUCGCAAAGGUGCGCUGACUGUCAGCAUCGAAAUACAUCACAAUUGCUCUUUCCUUUCUGUCGAAAGACUCGAAGCGAAAAAGUUCGUGACGACGUUUUCAAGCAUUUUCAUCCUAAAUUGAAAGUGCAUUACCAGCAAUAAAAGUAAAAGAGGAGUAAGCCUAACAACAGCAGCAAAAUGCCUAAAAAUAAGGGAAAAGGAGGUAAAAAUCGUCGUCGUGGAAAGAACGAAAAUGAAUUCGAAAAACGUGAAUUGAUUUUCAAGGAGGAUCAGCAAGAAUAUGCACAAGUCACCAAAAUGCUGGGCAAUGGUCGACUUGAGGCAACAUGUUUUGACGGAGUGAAACGUUUGUGUCACAUUCGGGGGAAACUCAGAAAGAAGGUAUGGAUUAAUCAGGGCGACAUCAUUUUGGUCGGUCUACGUGAUUAUCAGGAUUCAAAAGCUGAUGUCAUCUUAAAAUAUACACCGGAUGAGGCGAGAAAUUUGAAAACAUACGGUGAAUUCCCCGAAUCGGUACGCAUCAACGACACAGUUACAUUCGUCGAAGAUGGUUUUGAUGAAGACAUCGAAUUCGGUGAUGAGAUCAGUUCUGAGGAUGAUGCUGAUUCUGUAGACAAUAUAUGAUUAACAAGAAAUAAGCGCGAGUCUUCAAAUCAAAAAGAAGAAGAAUUAAGUAAAAUGGAAGUUUGAAAAGUUUUCAUUUCACAUUAAAAAAAAAAUCAAGAAACAAAAAUAUUAUAUAUUUAAUUCACUCUUUAAAUAGAAGUAAUUAAUUACAAAGCGAUAACAAUAAAUAUAAAAAUUCAAAAAACCCAAGAAAUUACAACACACCAUUUUUUUUUUAUUUAUAUUCUUCAAAUUAAAAAGAUUUUUAUUUUUAAACUACACUUUAUAGUGUGAUUUUGGAAAAUGUUUUCUGCAAACGAUAUUGUUCCUUAUCUAACCUACUCUUAAGUGUUCCUUCUAGAAGAGUUGGACAAAAUUACUGCAAAAUUUUGUUUAAGUCAAGUGAAACACUUGACAAUUAAAGAUUUGUUUGUUAUACUCUUGCAACAUGUUGCUACAGAGUAUAAUAGUUUUUUUUUAAUUAUUUUUAGUUUUGGAAAGAUACUUUUUUGACUUUGUUGAUUUAAUAAAUAUAUAAAACUUUUAAAUCUUUGGUUUAUUGUUAUUUUAGUGUUUUAUAUUGUGUAUAACACCAUAUUACACAUACAUACAUGCCUACACACAUAUGGAUAUUUACGAAUUCAAAAUAAUACAUGAUGAAAACAGUAAUACUUAUGUAUAUUAAUGUACCCGGCAAUAGCAUAGUUCUUAUGUACAUACACUCAUACUUGUGUACAUAUUUUAAGGCCCAAAACGAAAAUGUUCUCCAUUUCCCAAUAAAGGUAAACCAAAUUAUUUGCAAUUACGAUAUCAGAAAGAAAUUACCUACUAUGCAUAUAUUAAAUUCGAAAAACAAUUUGUUAGGUUUAAAGUAUUAUUAAAUGAAAUACAAACAAUAAUAAAUAAAACGGAAAA
rnacentral:misc_RNA from 1 species